rnacentral:rRNA from 1 species
GAUGAACGCUGGCGGCGUGCCUAAUACAUGCAAGUCGAACGCAUCACUUCGGUGAUGAGUGGCGAACGGGUGAGUAAUACAUAAGUAACCUAGCCUCUGGAGGGGGAUAACUAUUGGAAACGAUAGCUAAGACCGCAUAGGCAUAGGCAUCGCAUGAUGAAUAUGUUAAAUAUACCACGGGAUAGCGAGAGGAUGGACUUAUGGCGCAUUAGCUGGUUGGUGAGGUAGAGGCUCACCAAGGCGACGAUGCGUAGCCGACCUGAGAGGGUGGACGGCCACACUGGGACUGAGACACGGCCCAGACUCCUACGGGAGGCAGCAGUAGGGAAUUUUCGGCAAUGGGCGAAAGCCUGACCGAGCAACGCCGCGUGAGGGAGGAAGUACUUCGGUAUGUAAACCUCUGUUAUAAAGGAAGAACGGCAUAUGUAGGGAAUGACAUAUGAGUGACGGUACUUUAUGAGGAAGCCACGGCUAACUACGUGCCAGCAGCCGCCGUAACAC